GCUGAAGUCACCCGGAAACUUGAAAAAGCUUCACAUGGGGGAUUUGCUUCCAGGGCGGCUCAUUCACAUGGCUGAUGGCAGGAGAUCUUACCUCACAGGUCUCUCCAAAGAAGCUUCCUCAAGAGCAAGUGAUCCGAGAGAGCAAAGAGGACACAAUGUCUUUUAUGACCCAGUCUUACAAGUCACUCCUUAUCCUUUCUACCACAUUCUAUUUCUUAGUGGUUAUUCAUUAAAGCUACUCCAUACUGAAGUGGAGGAGAAUUAGGCUUCAACUAUCUGAAAAUUUGUAAACUUAUUUUCAAGCCAACACACCUACAGGGAAAUGGCAGAAAAGAUCAGCGUGGCUAGAAUUCGAUUGGAGGAAAGAGGCUGAUGACUGAAGAGAAGACUGUGAUCUAAAAGAUUCAUUCAGGGUAUUUCAGAAGAAUCCUUUUAAAGAGACACACAAGAUCCAAGAAACAGCUGACUUGGAGAAUGGGAAGAACAAAUUUUCUGAGAAGUCUGUUAUUCAAAUGUACUUCAGAUACUUACUUACAAGGAAUAUUUGAUUUUCCACUUAUGAAUAAAAGCCAAACUGAAGGAAGCUGAUACACAUGUAAGGAA